CGGGGUGUGGCGCAGUUGGUAGCGUGCUUGACUGGGGGUCAAGAGGCCCGGGGUUCAAGUCCCCGCACUCCGACCA
rnacentral:tRNA from 1 species